GAUGAAGAACGCAGUGAAAUGCGAUAAGUAAUGUGAAUUGCAGAAUUCAGUGAAUCAUCGAAUCUUUGAACGCAUCUUGCGCUCCUUGGUAUUCUGAGGAGCAUGCCUGUUUGAGUGUCAUUAAAUUCUCAACUACACUGACUUUGAAUUGGUGUGGCUUGGAUUUGGGGGGAAAAUUGUUGUGGGCUUUUUGUAUAGUCUGCUCCCCUGAAAUUGAUUAGCGGUACCUUUGUGGAACUGUCUACAGGUGUGAUAAUUAUCUACAUCUUAGACAUCUGCUGGAAUGCUGCUUUCUCAACCUUACUUGUAUUGACAAUCUUGACCUCAAAUCAGGUAGGACUACCCGCUGAACUUAAGCAUAUCAAUAAGCGGAGGA
rnacentral:misc_RNA from 1 species